UUUAAUGUCAUGAAAAAAGAAUUUAAAAAAAAGUUUAAGUGUGUGCUCAUACUAACCUCUGACUUUUUUGCCAAUAUACAUGUAUGUAACCCCUUAAGAGUUUUGGGACUCUAACUUUUUUUAUAAAGCGCUUUUAGUCAUCACUGUAGUAAUUUUACAUUUAGUUUUAGUUUUUAAAUAUGAUAUUCUUUCAAUCAUUAUGCAAAUUAUAUUGGCAGGUCAGCAAAAAUAUUAACAUAACACUAAACGAUUUUAUUGCACGAUUCUGGACGUUCAUAGGCCUUACUAUGAUCAAGAAGACUGAUGUAUUUGUUAGAAUAUAAUACUACUUUUUUGUAAAUCAUAUUACAUAACAGCGAAUAAACUAAAACCACACUAAGAAGACUUUCCCUGUAAGCUAUCAUAUCUCAGUUGAGGUAAAUUCAACUUCAAUGUAGAGAGAAAUUUAACAAAAAAAGUCGAUGCGUUGUUAAGACUCAAUGUCUAAAAAACUUAAUAUUUUUUUAAACAUAUUUAAAAAGGUUUCACUGUACCGUUAAAAACUUUGAUUGCAAACUUGUCAAAAUACACUUUAUUAUUCAUUAUAAGGGAAAAUUUGUAAUAGUGGAAUGAUACAUCACGUAAACUGCAUUUGGCAUCAAUGUUUUCCGCAGCUUAAACAAACAAGAAAAAAUAAAGGUGGAAUAAAAUAAUUUAAAGGUUAAAUAAUAAACCUGUAUUGUGAUCUUUUCUAAAGGUAAUAUAUCAGACCGUCAUAAAUUUGUAAUGCGCUAAGAACUUCAUUUUGUUAUAAUGUGCCGAUGAAUUCCUCGUUUUGUGCCAAUUAAAGAUUAAAAAAAAAGAAAACUUACACUCAGCGUUGCGAUACGUCUUUCAAAAAGUUUUUUUUUUUCCAAAAUAGUUUCCACUUUUCAAACAUCAUACAACCUUGGAAGUUUAAGGUUUGAAUCAGUUUGAAAUGAUAAUGAUCGAAAAUUGAGAUUCAAAACAUGAAAAUUUUGUGAAACUUUUGUUUAUAAUACAAAUAAUUAUAAACAACAGUUUUCCAAAAUGUUUGAAGCUAAAAUAUUCAGCUCUUUCAUAUUUUUUUUUUCAAAUGUGUUUUCAAUCUGAAAUUUGCAUGGUCAGUAGGGUGACAAGAAAAAUAUAUUGUAAAAUCGUAAGAGAUUCUGGUUUGAUUCUUUAGGUAAAAAUAAAUACCCGUGCCAUUUUUAAGCCAAAUCGGUUAAGGGUUUUGCCUUCCUCACCUCAAUGAGGAAAGGCUAUAAAAUCAGUCGAAAAAUUAACUUCUUUAUUCGACCUCGUAGACCGACCUUCACGUACACCUAUCGACUCAGAUUAAAAAAAUUAUGAUAAACACAGGCAAACAUUCGUUAAUCUGCAUUGAAUCCAAACAAAUCAACAAAACUCUCAUUGUAAACUAAAUCUAGAGUGAGCGGGAAUAACUGUUUAUUUACAAUCCAAAGCUACGCCAUAAAAAAAACUUGAAAUUUGUCAGCUAAGCUUUGCUUGUACAAACCUUUAGUAAAUUAUUUGCUUGAAAAUUGUUGAAAUCGUUUCAGUAUUGUUUAAUUGAUUAGAAAAAAUGUAACAAAAGGUCUGUGAUAAGAUUUGAAGAAUUUGUCAAUAUAUGGUAUUCCAAAAAUAUCUAAUAUUAAAAAAUGUACCUGAUAAGUUAAAGUGAAUCGAAAGAAUAAUAUAAACUAACAACGGUUGCUGAAGGCUGAAUGUGUCACAAACGAAGAUAAAUCGAACGAAAGCAGCGCUCCUCUCGUCUUGAACACACAAUGAUUGGACAAUACUAUUCAAUGAAGAAAAGAAUCCAGUUGAGCUGCAGAGAGAAAAGAAAAUUUAAUCCGCCACGUGCUGAAAGUGCCAAUUAAGUGGAAAAUUAGCUUCUUUCUAUAAGAAAAUCUCAAUUUGUCAUUCAAUCAAGUACUUUGUAUCCAAACUAUUGAACAGCAAUAAAUGCAAUCGUUCGAGCAACCAACAA
rnacentral:lncRNA from 1 species